rnacentral:misc_RNA from 1 species
AGCAGCCGCGGUAAUUCCAGCUCCAAUAGCGUAUAUUAAAGUUGUUGCAGUUAAAAAGCUCGUAGUUGAAUUUCGGGAUUGACGUGAUGGUCGUGCCUUAAGGGGUAUGAACUGUUGCUGUUGAUUUCUCACCUUCUGGAGAAACUUGAUGUCCUUAAUUGGGUGUCUUGCGGAUCCAGGACCUUUACCUUGAAAAAAUUUAGAGUGUUUAAAGCAGGCAUUUUGCUCGAAUACAUUAGCAUGGAAUAAUAGAAUAGGACGGCAUGGUUCUAUUUUGUCGGUUUCUAGGAUCACCGUAAUGAUUAAUAGGGAUAGUUGGGGGCAUUAGUAUUCAAUUGUCAGAGGUGAAAUUCUUGGAUUUAUUGAAGACUAACUACUGCGAAAGCAUUUGCCAAGGAUGUUUUCAUUAAUCAAGAACGAAAGUUAGGGGAUCGAAGACGAUCAGAUACCGUCGUAGUCUUAACCAUAAACUAUGCCGACUAGGAAUCAGACGAUGUUAAUUUUUUAAUGACUCGUUUGG